rnacentral:rRNA from 1 species
UACGUAGGGUGCAAGCGUUGUCCGGAAUUAUUGGGCGUAAAGAGCUCGUAGGCGGUCUGUCACGUCGGCUGUGAAAACCCGGGGCUCAACCCCGGGCCUGCAGUCGAUACGGGCAGACUAGAGUGCGGUAGGGGAGACUGGAAUUCCUGGUGUAGCGGUGAAAUGCGCAGAUAUCAGGAGGAACACCGGUGGCGAAGGCGGGUCUCUGGGCCGUAACUGACGCUCAGGCGCGACAGCGUGGGGAUCAAACAGG